GUGGAAGCAUGUGUCACUCACACGAGGAGGCGGGACCAGAGCGCGCACGUCCGCACUCACUGCCGCGCUGCAUCCGCUUCUUCUACCCGCGUCGGACAAUCUUCCCAAAUAUCAACGCGCACACGCAGCUGGCUGGCUGAACACGCCUGGUCCUAAGUCAUCCGGUCUUCCUCUCGUAUAGGUUGCUUGCGCGCCUCCCAGGUCCGUGUGUGGAGCUCCAAGAUCGGAGGACGAUGUAAUUUUUGGAGGGGGUUUGGAUUCAGCGCCGUGACAGGCUGGACGCGCGCAGAGAAAUGGCCUUCUCUGUAUUGAUGGUGACAUGAGCGUCAGCCCUUCAGGCUACAUGCCGGUGAUGGGGGAGCUUUUCACUGACAGCAACAGCAUGCCAAAGCGGUUGGCACUCAUCUGCUUCCUGUCUCUUGUCAUGGCGAUGAGCAUCCUGGGAAACCUGCUGGUCAUGGUGGCUGUCUGCAAGGACAGGCAACUCAGGAAAAUCAAGACCAACUACUUCAUCGUGUCGCUGGCCUUCGCUGACCUGCUGGUGUCGCUGCUAGUAAUGCCAUUCGGCGCCAUCGACCUGGUGCACCAGCAGUGGAUCUACGGCGAAACCUUCUGCCUGGUGCGCACCUCGCUGGAUGUGCUUCUCACCACCGCCUCCAUUAUGCACCUGUGCUGCAUCGCCCUCGACAGGUAUUACGCUAUCUGUUGUCAGCCUUUGGUGUACCGCAACAAAAUGACACCCAUGCGCGUGGCCCUUAUGAUUGGCGGGUGCUGGGUGAUCCCCACCUUCAUCUCCUUCCUGCCCAUCAUGCAAGGAUGGAACACCAUCGGCAUCGACCACGUGAUCGACGAGCGUCGCCACACGGAAGGCAGCAACACCACGUCGUGCGUGUUCCUGGUGAACCAACCUUACGCGGUGACGUGCUCAGUGGUGGCCUUCUACAUCCCGCUGGUGCUGAUGGUGCUGGCCUACCAGCGGAUCUACGUGACGGCGCGGGCGCACGCCCUCCAGAUUGGCGCACUGCAGCGGGCGGGUGGCGCCUCAUCGUCAUCGGAUUCGGCCGACCAGCAGCGCAACCACCGCAUGCGCGUGGAGACCAAGGCGGCCAAGACGCUGUGCGUCAUCAUGGGCUGCUUCUGCCUGUGCUGGGCGCCCUUCUUCAUCACCAACGUGGUGGACCCCUUCAUCGGCUACAUGGUGCCCGACCAGCUGUGGGCGGCCUGCUUGUGGCUGGGCUACAUCAACUCCAUGCUUAACCCCAUCCUCUACGCCUUCCUCAACAAGUCCUUCCGCCGUGCCUUCCUCAGCAUCCUGUGUUGCGGGCGCAAGCGCUACCGCCGACCCUCCGUGUUGGUGGGCCCGCGCGCGGCCUGCGCCGCCACACGCAUCAACGGCUCCACGCACGUGCUAAACAGCUGCUCCUCUGCCUCCAAACUGCUGCUCUGGUUGUGCAACACCAGGCCAGUGCCUGUCUAGCCGCUCUAAGCCUCACCUGCAGGCUCGCGCCCUCUAGCUCGCUCGCUCAAGUAUUCGGUGCUUCAGAACGGGAACCACACGGCACAGGAGAAGAAAACGCUGCACGAUCAUGCAGAGUCCUGUUUGUGACACGCUGUCACACUCCUCCACCAAGCCCAUAUGCAGGAACAGUCCACCGCGCCAACCUGGCCCAGGUCCGAAGCGACCAAGAGAGUCUGCUGAAUGGAGGCCAAACCAGCUCUGGUUCUGGUUCCCGCCCCAAUGUGACUGUGGUCCUGACAGAGUAGCUCCACCUGUAGGACUUUGAGGGUGUGAUGUUUCCAAAGCAUUGUUCAUUUUAAUAUGGUAUUUAAUUUAAGAGUACAUUACAACAUGUGUGUGUGUGUGUGCAUGUGUGUGUGUGUGUGUCCGCGCGCGCGCAUGUGUGCGUGUGUAUGUUUCCAUGGUGAUUCAACUUUACCGAAUGUGAUUUCUUUUUUUUUUCCCUGUCUCUUACAAGAGUGUGUGUUUUGCGGGUGGGUGUGCACGCACACAUUUACACAUGUGUGAGUAAUAAUGGGUUUGUGUGAAUGCGUGUGCCUGUAAAUGUAUGCUUGCGUGUGUGGGCGCUUGCAAACGGACAAGAUGCGCUUUAAUUGCAGACUCUCAGCUUUAAUUUGAAAUCAGGUGAAUAGUGCAGGAAUUACAAUAUCUUUUGUAUAUCCCUUUUUAAGGGAGCAUAAAGAUCAGUCAUUGUCCUUUUAUGUUUUAAGAGUUGGUUGCAAAUUCUUUGCAGUCAAUUACUGCCUGAAGUUUGGAAUGAAUAGACAUUACCAGCCGCUGGAUUUCAUACCUAGUGAUGCUCUGUCAGGCCUCGAAUGCAAAUGUCUUUAGUUCCUGCUUAUCCUUGGGGCAUUUUCCCUUCAGUUUUUAUCUUCAGCAAGUGAAAUGCAUGCCCAGUUGGAUUCGGGUCAGGUGAUUGAAUUGGCCAGUACAUAACAUCCCACGUCAUUGGGUCAUUGUCCAUCUGCACUGUGAUGCACCAUCUCAUGCGAUCUGAAGCAUUUGACUGAAUAUGAACAGAUAAUAUUGCCCGUAACACUUCAGAAUUCAUCCUGUUGCCUUUGUCAGCAAUCACAUUGUCAAUAAAAACAAGGGAAUCAGUUCCAUUGUCAGAUAUAGAUUCCUGCCCCUAGCCCACAUUGCUUUUAAAAAGCUCUUAUUCAUCAAAUUUGUAAGUGGUCUCUCAAUAAGCUUCUAUUUGAUUUUACGUGGUUAAAUACAGGGGUGUCCAAACUUUCAUUUGAGGGCCACAUACAGAAAAAUGGAAACGUUCAAUUAUUCGACUUUUAUUCAUUAAAUCCGCUCAAACUAUAGAUCUAUUUUGAGUUUGUAAACAAAGGUGACGGACUCACAUGCAAAUUUUUGGCCAAAUGGCGGGAUACAUUGUUAUUGGUGGGACUGCGUACAAGGCUACUUUUAAGUUGCUUAGGUGUUCUAGGAUGCCCAGGGAAAAGCAGCUGAGGUCAAUGACUUAACAAUUUAAGUUACUGUACAUGUAGCAAAUGUGCACUUAAGCUCAUUGCCGGAUGAGUUAGCUACCAGUUACUAGCUAGCACGAGUAGCAAACACCUUGCCAUGAUUCUACAAUUUCUUACUACUUCCUCAACAUCUCAAGACGGAGGUGAAUCUAAACCAAAUGGCCUCAAUAACUUAGCCGACAUGAAAUGAGCACCUUAAAUGCUGGUAUUCCUAUUAUGUCAAUAGUCCAGUUUGUGCGAUGAAUAGCUUUGCAGCCAUAGGCUCCUCCGAUGUUUCUGAAAUCUAUAUAUAUAUUGUGCGUCGUCCCGCACGCGGUCUGUCCUUCCGUCUGUCCCUUUUCAAAACGUACCUACUUCACCGCGCCGCUGCGCGCCGCCACUGCGCCGCUCAGGCAGUGGCUCACUACGAUCGCGCGGGCAUCUUAGCGAAAAAAUGUUGUCUACCCACAAGCAUUGCAAUGAAAUUGUUAGUUAUUUAGUAGAGCUAAACAUCUCUUUAUUUUCGCGAUAAGCAAUGAAGAUGAACAAAAAGUUGAACCAAGCAACAACACUUUUGUGGGCCGCAGGCCCACCUUACCAGCCUUCCGCAGGAACUGGCUGAUGAGCCGCCCGGAGGGCGGCGAACCACCACCUUACCAGCCUUCCGCAGGAACUAGCUGAUGAGCCGCCCAGAGGGCGGCGAACCAGCUAGUGGUCUCUAAAUUUUAACUUUUUUCUACUCAAAUUCAUACUCCCAUACACCUAACAGCAAGGAAUUUUGCUUUUGUUUGAAACUAUUCAUAAACUUUCACAUCUCCAGCCCAAAAACAAA